rnacentral:rRNA from 1 species
UGGGGAAUAUUGCGCAAUGGAGGAAACUCUGACGCAGCAACGCCGCGUGAGUGAAGAAGGUUUUCGGAUCGUAAAGCUCUGUCUUUGGGGAAGAAAAAAAUGACGGUACCCAAGGAGGAAGCCCCGGCUAACUACGUGCCAGCAGCCGCGGUAAUACGUAGGGGGCAAGCGUUGUCCGGAAUCACUGGGCGUAAAGAGUACGUAGGCGGUUUGGUAAUUUAGAUGUGAAAGUUUGCAGCUCAACUGUAAAAGUGCAUUUAAAACUGGCAGACUUGAGUCUCGGAGAGGUAAGCGGAAUUCCUAGUGUAGCGGUGAAAUGCGUAGAGAUUAGGAAGAACACCGGUGGCGAAGGCGGCUUACUGGACGAGUACUGACGCUCAGGUACGAAAGCGUGGGGAGCAAACA